CAAACCCGCCCAGCGCGCGGCACCAUGGGAGUGCUCUACGGCGCAGCCGCCUUUAAACUCCGAUCUUGCCGGCGAAAUUUUUAAUGGGCAGGGACUGGAGGACUGCGUUUGCUCAGGAUUGCCUGGGAAACCAGGAACGAAGCAACUACGUGAAGAUCCCUAGAAGAACAGGAUUCUGUCCUGCUUUCUGCUCCUCGGCUGGGGCGUGCUCAUGUGGUUCACCUGCGCCUCCUCCAGGGGCUUCUCCUAACUGUUAAGAUCUAACACCUUCCUCCACCGGACCCGGCCUUCUAGAACUGAAACUCCAGGCCAACCGGUAGCUUGAGAGUGCACCGCCUCCGCGGUGGACAGCCCUCUCCCCGGCUAGCCUAAAUAAACCCAAAACUGAGCAAGCUCAGCAGGCAGAUGCACCUUCACGGCGCAACGGACCGAUCUCCUCUGUGGCACUAGGGGCUCCCAGCCCCUGAGAAGUAACUCAACCCUUCUCUUGAACAACGCAGGAGGCCAGCAGCAUCUGCAGCACCUGGAAUUCCCUAAGAAGGCAAAGGAGGGGCGUGGGUUCAGGAUUACAAGUUAGCCGAGAUCAGCCUCAGCUACCGCUCCACUAACCCCAAAGGAAAGAAACUUCCCAGGCAUGACCUGCCGGUCAAACAAGACCUUCAGAUGAUUCCUAUGCCCUGUGAUAGUCCUUGAACCCAGUUAAAAAGGCUACAAUGGAGUGGUGCAUGGCUGUAAUACUGACACUCCUACAGACAAGAGACUCUUCCCUAAACUCUAGGGACAAGUAGUCCUAGAGCACACAGCACAGCAGCAGAAGAGAGACUCCUUCAUAAGGCUUGUUUCUCCAUGGAGAAUCAGGAAAUGUACCCCAGACACCCAGAGUUGAGAUGGAUACAGCUGAAAAGAGAUGUGGUAGGCCAGAAAGAACCAACAGCUACUGUUCAGAGCCAAGGAUGGAAAACAAGGGGUGUGGAUUUUACUCUGUCUUUUCUUGGAUGGUUCAUCUGCAUGAUGUCUUAUGAAUUUGGUAAUAAGGAAAAGUCCACAAACUGACUUCAAGAGAAAAGCUGUCCUAGGCCAACUCUUCUCACUUCAGGGCUGGAGUCACCAUGAAAGUGGCAGGGCACAUCAGAAGCAAGGAUUCCAGAACAGUCAAUAAUCAGGCAGCAGAUGAGAGCUCCGAGGUGCCAUGGGCUGGCAUAACUGAGCGAGGAGUACAUGGCAGAAUGAGAGCUGACAUGCCUAAUUCCAGCACCCACACUUCAUCAUGACUAACUGUCAAACGAAGACCUCCACCAGAGAACUCUUGUUUCAUGGCUUUCGGUUCGUCUUAAGAGUUCAAAAGAAUUAAAGAUAUGAAGCAGAGACAUUAGACUUGUGUUAGGGGUAGAAACUUCUGGUAGUAGCUUUUGGUGAGAACAAGAUGUAGAACUCUCAGCUCCUUCUCCACUACCAUGCCUGCCUGGAUGCUGCCAUGCUUCCUGCUAUGAUAAUGGACUGAACCUCUGAACCGCACACGGUUUUAUGAGACAAGGCAACAAAGAGUCCGAUUGGCAGUGCAGCUACUCAAAUGGCUGCCUCUGCCAACAAACCUCCCAUGUGAGACCUGCUGCAUGGUGUGAUUUGCCUGGGACUGCCCUGCCUAUUCUAACACUUAGUACCUAUGGACGUCAAUACUCUCAGCAGUAAACAAGAAUAACAACA
rnacentral:lncRNA from 1 species